rnacentral:tRNA from 1 species
GCCGGUGUAGCACAGUGGUAGUGCAGCGGUUUUGUAAACCGAAGGUCGGGAGUUCGAGUCUCUCCACCGGCA